AGUGAACGCUGGCGGCAGGCCUAAUACAUGCAAGUCGAACGAACACACAGUAAGAGUGCGCCUCUACGGGUGGCGGCUGACGGAUGGGUGACGCAUACAUAGGAUUCUUAUAUUACGUGGGGGACAUCGUGGGGACAGUUACACUACUGCAGCAUAUGUCCUACGGGUUAGAUCAGGAGUUAUUCAGACCUUGCCUGUCUCUUAUAGCCGAUGCCGCAUUAGCUAGUUGGUUGGGUAAAGGCCCACCAAGGCGACGAUACGUAGCUGAUCUGAGAGGAUGAUCAGCCACACUGGAACUGAGACACGGUCCAGACUCCUACGGGAGGCAGCAGUAGGGAAUAUUGGGCAAUGGGCGCAAGCCUGAUCCAGCCAUGCCGCGUGAGUGAUGAAGGCCUUCGGGUUGUAAAGCCCUUUUGUUGGGGAAGAAAAACAGCAUGUUAAUAUCCCGCUGUUCUGACGGUACCCAAAGAAUAAGCACCGGCUAACUUCGUG
rnacentral:rRNA from 1 species